rnacentral:lncRNA from 1 species
UUUUUUUUCGGAUGGGUCGUUCGACGUUAUGCGCGAAUGGAAUUAUGAACCGUUGGUUCAUUCACAAAGUGACUCACAGUGCCGGGGCAUUUUACUUUAUAUUGGAACGAGAAGGAGAGAUGCUGAGUGCACGUACAAGGAAACAAAUGACAGGAAGGGGGAUGGAAGGAGAAAGAGUGUAUGUAUUUGAGGCGCAGAAUGAAACAUGAGGGAUCAUACCAGCACU